rnacentral:rRNA from 1 species
AAUCAUUUGUCUUUUAAAUGAAGACUUGUAUGAACGGCAAAACCUCCUCCAACUGUCUCCCCUCCCAUCCUUCCAAAUUUCCUCCUGUGUGAAGAAGCACAGAUACAUCAGAAAGACGAGAAGACCCUGUCGAGCUUUAGCCACUAAGUGGGCCUUACCCUUUCAGGCACCACCCAAAGGUUUUGGUUGGGGCAACCACGGAGAAAAAACAUCCUCCAGAACGAAUAGAAGAAAGCUUUUCACUAUUAUUGCGAUUAAGAACCAGGAACUGGUAUUCGGAAAGAGUUACCGCAGGGAUAACAGCGUCAUCUCCUCUAAGAGUCCUUAUUGACGAGGAGGUUUGCGACCUCGAUGUUGGAUUGGGGCCCCCUUAGGGUGCAGAAGCUCUAAACGGUUAGACUGUUCGUCUAUUAAAGCCCUACAUGAUCUGAGUUCAAACCGGAG